AGAAAUGCACAAGCAUGGGCCUUGCUGAAAUCAGAAGGAUGGGAGAGAUGACUUCCCAUGGACACUUCCAGUCCCAGCGCCCUGCAUUUUCACAAAUAUGAAAUGCGUGGAUGGGGCUGCCCCUAUCCCUGGUCCAGCAACAGACGUGGGCAAAGACAGGGUUCCAGCUCCUGGCCAUUCAGGAUGCGCUCAGGAAUGGACAUGGGACAUAAACUUUAGACGUCGAGACCUGGCUGAAUUUUAACCAGGAGGUGGAGACAGAAAGAGAAACUGUGUCUAAUGGCAUGUCUAAUGAGCUCUGGCAGCUGGAUCCUGACAAACUCCCCUUGUACCUUGAUGAACCCGCUGGUUUCUAACUAAGAGUAUAAGGACUAUUGACACUGAUAAAGGGACUUGGCUGAAGCCCCCAGGGACAGCACGUCUCCAGAGGUUUUUAAAAGCCCUGCCUGAUGAACAGACACUGCAAUAAAGGCUUUUGCCAACAUUUUCCUCCACUCCUUUUGUGCCCUGACCAACCCUGGUGCUCACUGUGUGCUGUGACAUGCCUCCUCUUUCCAGGGAAUUGGAUUUUGUUGUUAAACCACUGAACUGAAUGUGUCGGGAAGAGAGUAUGAAGGUCAGCCUCUCCUAUUGCCAAGUCUGACAGGUAAGAAUAAUAAUAGCAACUUACGCCUGCAGAGUGCUUUCUAAUCUAUGGAGUGCGUCCACUGUCCUUCCCAAGGACAUCGGAGACAGGAGGGUGAGGGCGCCGAGGGGAGACUGGCGG